CCCUUAGAUGUUCUGGGCCGCACGCGCGCUACACUGAUUCAUGCAACAAGUUUUGUCCUUGGCUGAUAGGCCUGGGUAAUCUUUGAACGUGAAUCGUGAUGGGGAUAGAUGAUUGCAAUUAUUCAUCUUCAACGAGGAAUUCCUAGUAAACGCAAGUCAUCAGCUUGCAUUGAUUACGUCCCUGCCCUUUGUACACACCGCCCGUCGCACCUACCGAUUGAAUGGUCCGGUGAAAUCUUCGGAUCUGAGAGAUGUCCGAUUAAUUUCGGACGCCUUUUGGAAAAGUUGUUUAAACCUUACCAUUUAGAGGAAGGUGAAGUCGUAACA
rnacentral:rRNA from 1 species